UGCGCGGGGAGAUUUGUCCCGUGUUCACAGGCGGGGCCGAGGCGGGGCCUGGAUGUCUCGGGCGGCACAUCCCGCCCCUCCCUGGGUGUUUCAGAGAGAAGCAGAAAGGUUUUCUCUCCCACUGGAUAGACCCACCCAGAGCCCAGCCGUGGAAUUACCCCCUUGUAGGGAGUGAUCUUACUUCCCAACCCAGUCAGGUUUUGGCUUUACCAUGAAACAUCUGCAGCAACAACAGACAACAUUCGAAAUGUUGUUCUUGUAUUCCUGCAGGUCAGUGUUCCCUACUAUGUGACUUCAUUGCUGAAACCUAACCAUGACCUUUUCAUUCUUACUAUAUUUUCACAAACUGAUUAAUUUUCUUUGACAAUAAUUUAAAUAUUAAAAAGCUGUUCUCUAUUGCAGAACACUGAAUUUC